GGAACAUUCCGGAGUUGUGCCUGCAGUGAGAAAGAUACAACAGUUCUCUAUGUGCCUGGAACAGAGAAAUUGCUCCCCGUUCCCGCCAGAAAAAAAAAAACCCAAUAGAAUGAAGGUGCCAUGUGGACUGUGACAGUCCUCUUCACCCCAUCACUGAACCUAAGAGCUCCCGCGUCUUCUGGCUUUCUGUCCCGUGGAGUCCUGCCUUGGUGCUGCAAAGGGUGCCGGGGUCGGCAGGUCUCAGCUGUGCACGUAACCCUCUCAACGGCUCGGGGCUUCGAGGAGACCAGCAGCUUGGCUCAGGGUCCAGCAGCUGCGAGCGCAUUAAUUAGAGACUGUAUCCCGACCGCUCCACUUGCUAUGCCGGGCGACUCUGGGACAAGCUGCUGCAGGGCAACUGAGGCCACAUGGUGAAGAAUCUGUUUGGAGAAAGGACUAGAAGAUUCUGGGGCUGUGCUUGCAAUGAGGUACAUACAACAGUUCUCCCUGUGCCUUGAGCAGAGAACUUCCCUCAAAAAAAAAAAAAAAAAAAAAAGCCAGACAAAAGAAGAACUAAGUCUCGCCAUGCCCCACAGAGAAAAGGCCAUGUGGGGACCCAGCCAGAAGGCUGCCAUCUGCAAGCCAGGAAAAGAGCCCUUGAGAGUCUGCUAGAACCUUAAUUUGAAAGUUCCAGCCUCCAGAACACCAUGAAACCCCAGUGUGUAGGCAGGACCUAUGACCUGCUUCCAACGGACAGAAUAUGGCAAAGGUGAUGGGAUGUAUGUGAUUAUCUUAUACAAGAUUAUAAGGUCCAUCUUGCUGAGACUCUCCUUUGCUGGCUUGAGAAAGCAACCAGUUAUACUGAAAAGGCCCAUGUGGCAAAGAACUCAGGGUGGCCUCCUGCCAAGAGCACGUAAGCAUUGAGCACUCUAAAGGAACUGAAGGCUACUAAUAACCAUGUGGUGAAAAAGCUGACCCUUCCCCAGUCAAGCCUCAGAUGAGAUGGCAGCCCUGAACAACACCUUGACUGUAGGCUUAUAGAAGACCCAACUAAUCUGUGCCUGGGUCCCUUACC